rnacentral:tRNA from 1 species
GCCGGGCUAGCUCAAUCGGUAGAGCGUGAGACUCUUAGUCCUCGCGGUAUCUCAAGGUUGCGGGUUCGACCCCCGCGUUCGGCU